rnacentral:lncRNA from 1 species
GAGAAAGACAGAGGAAGGAACUUAUUGAGAGUGAAGAUCGAGGAGUGAAGAAAGAAGUAAGAAAGGAUUGGAGUGAUUGAGUUGCAGUGAUUCAUCUAUGGCCAUUGAAUGCCUGGAAGGAUCAUUGUGGUCCUCUUGGACAAUACCAGUGGGGCACAGAAUGACCACACAUAAUCUGCACCUGACCUAUUACUAGGGGAGGAUGGA